GAAAAGUUUUUAACGGCCGCAGUACCCUGACUGUGCUAAGGUAGCGUAAUCAGUUGGCUUUUAAAUGGAGUCGAGAAUGAAUGGGUUUUUGGGGGUUAGCUGUCUCCAUUAAGUUAAUUUUAAUUUACUUAGAGGGUGAAAAUUCCCUCAGUUAAGAAAAAAGACGAGAAGACCCUUAGAGUUUUUACUAUACUGUUUGAUUAACAAGAAGUUUUUGCUGGGGCGGCAUAGAGGCAUAUAUAAAAUUUAACCCUCUCUAUAAAAUUUUUAGAAGACGUUUGUAAAAAGUGACAAUAAACUACCUUAGGGAUAACAGCAUAAUUUAGUUUAAGUUUGUGACCUCGAUGUUGGACUAGGGACUUUAUGGCUAGCAGCCACAAGAGCAGGUUCUGUUCGAACCAGUAUCCCCUA
rnacentral:rRNA from 1 species